GACGAACGCUGGCGGCGUGCCUAAUACAUGCAAGUCGAACGCUUUUUCUUUCACCGGAGCUUGCUCCACCGAAAGAAAAAGAGUGGCGAACGGGUGAGUAACACGUGGGUAACCUGCCCAUCAGAAGGGGAUAACACUUGGAAACAGGUGCUAAUACCGUAUAACACUAUUUUCCGCAUGGAAGAAAGUUGAAAGGCGCUUUUGCGUCACUGAUGGAUGGACCCGCGGUGCAUUAGCUAGUUGGUGAGGUAACGGCUCACCAAGGCAACGAUGCAUAGCCGACCUGAGAGGGUGAUCGGCCACACUGGGACUGAGACACGGCCCAGACUCCUACGGGAGGCAGCAGUAGGGAAUCUUCGGCAAUGGACGAAAGUCUGACCGAGCAACGCCGCGUGAGUGAAGAAGGUUUUCGGAUCGUAAAACUCUGUUGUUAGAGAAGAACAAGGAUGAGAGUAAAAUGUUCAUCCCUUGACGGUACCUAACCAGAAAGCCACGGCUAAUUACGUGCCAGCCGCCGCCGUAA
rnacentral:rRNA from 1 species